AUUAAGUAACUGCCAUAAAAAGAGAUUGAUAUUCAUUUAAAGUCAACUAAUGACAGUCAUUCUCCUUACCUUCAUCUUCUCUUUUGUGAAUGACAUAGAUUUAAUAAGGGAAAGCAAUAAGGAUACUGUUUUUUAUCUGGAUUUACAUCACUGUACUACUUGAAUUACAGCAGUUUACAGUUGCUGAAAAACAGCACUUACAGUUACAGCAGUCGGUGCCACACGUUCCUAGUUAAAUUGGAUUUUUAUGAUUAAUACUACUAGCAUUGUUGCACAGAAAAAAAGCCAUGAUUGUAAGAAUUUUAGCUGAAGGAGUAAUUAUGAAUGGGUGUGUUUGUAAUUCACUUCUCUUAUUUUUAUACAAAUAAAGAUCUCUUUUGAGACUGA